rnacentral:rRNA from 1 species
GGCGGCACGCUUAACACAUGCAAGUCGAACGAGAAACUCGGAGCUUGCUCUGGGUGGACAGUGGCGAACGGGUGAGGAACACGUGAGGAACCUGCCCUGGAGACCGGGACAACAUCGGGAAACCGUUGCUAAUACCGGAUGUCCUCAUCGGACCGCAUGAUCUGAUGAGGAAAUGGAUUCCGCUCCAGGAUGGCCUCGCGGCCUAUCAGCUUGUUGGUGGGGUAACGGCCUACCAAGGCUUCGACGGGUAGCUGGUCUGAGAGGAUGUCCAGCCACACUGGGACUGAGACACGGCCCAGACUCCUACGGGAGGCAGCAGUGGGGAAUCUUGCGCAAUGGGCGAAAGCCUGACGCAGCGAUGCCGCGUGCGGGAUGACGGCCUUCGGGUUGUAAACCGCUUUCAGCAGGGACGAAAAUGACGGUACCUGCAGAAGAAGCCCCGGCCAACUACGUGCCAGCAGCCGCGGUAAUACGUANGGGGCGAGCGUUGUCCGGAUUUAUUGGGCGUAAAGAGCUCGUAGGCGGUUCGAUAAGUCGGAUGUGAAAUCUCCACGCU